CCUACGGGAGGCAGCAGUGAGGAAUAUUGGUCAAUGGCCGGAAGGCUGAACCAGCCAAGCCGCGUGAAGGACGAAGGUGCCAAGCAUUGUAAACUUCUUUUGUCAAGGGACAAAAUCAGGCUCGAGAGCCUGACCGAGGGUACUUGAAGAAAAAGCAUCGGCUAACUCCGUGCAAGCAGCCGCGGUAAUACGGAGGAUGCGAGCGUUAUCCGGAUUUAUUGGGUUUAAAGGGUGCGUGGGCGGGCUGUUAAGCCAGCGGUAAAAGCCCGGGGGUCAACCCCGGCGAGCCGUUGAGACUGGCUGUCUUGAGAUGUCGAGAGGUAUGCGGAAUGCGCAGUGUAGCAGUGAAAUGCUUAGAUAUUGCGCAGAACUCCGAUUGCGAAGGCAGCAUACCGGCGGCGAUCUGACGCUGAGGCACGAAAGCGUGGGUAUCGAACAGGAUUAGAUACCCGGGUAGUC
rnacentral:rRNA from 1 species